CCUAGGGAGGCAGCAGUGAGGAAUAUUGGUCAAUGGCCGGAAGGCUGAACCAGCCAAGUAGCGUGAAGGAUGACUGCCCUAUGGGUUGUAAACUUCUUUUAUAAAGGAAUAAAACGAGGCACGUGUGCCUUUUUGCAUGUACUUUAUGAAUAAGGAUCGGCUAACUCCGUGCCAGCAGCCGCGGUAAUACGGAGGAUCCGAGCGUUAUCCGGAUUUAGUGGGUUUAAAGGGAGCGUAGAUGGGUUGUUAAGUCAGUUGUGAAAGUGUGCGGCUCAACCGUAAAAUUGCAAUUGAUACUGGCAGUCUUGAGUACAGUUGAGGUAGGCGGAAUUCGUGGUGUAGCGGUGAAAUGCUUAGAUAUCACGAAGAACCCCGAUUGCGAAGGCAGCUUACUAAACUGUGACUGACAUUGAUGCUCGAAAGUGUGGGUAUCAAACAGGAUUAGAUACCCCGGUAGUC
rnacentral:rRNA from 1 species